rnacentral:rRNA from 1 species
AUUGAACGCUGGCGGCAGGCCUAACACAUGCAAGCCGAACGGUAGCACAGAGAGCUUGCUCUCGGGUGACGAGUGGCGGACGGGUGAGUAAUGUCUGGGAAACUGCCCGAUGGAGGGGGAUAACUACUGGAGACGGUAGCUAAUACCGCAUAACGUCGCAAGACCAAAGUGGGGGACCUUCGGGCCUCACACCAUCGGAUGUGCCCAGAUGGGAUUAGCUAGUAGGUGGGGUAAGGGCUCACCUAGGCGACGAUCCCUAGCUGGUCUGAGAGGAUGACCAGCCACACUGGAACUGAGACACGGGCCAGACUCCUACGGGAGGCAGCAGUGGGGAAUAUUGCACAAUGGGCGCAAGCCUGAUGCAGCCAUGCCGCGUGUAUGAAGAAGGCCUUCGGGUUGUAAAGUACUUUCAGCGGGGAGGAAGGCGGUGAAGUUAAUAACUUCACCGAUUGACGUUACCCGCAGAAGAAGCACCGGCUAACUCCGUGCCAGCCGCCGCAGUAA